AAUUAUCAUCUGCGUGAAGGAUUGCAGCGGCAUCCUUUUUUAUAGGCUUGUAAAAAAGAUAUAGUGGAAAGCCUGACCCUUG
rnacentral:sRNA from 1 species